rnacentral:rRNA from 1 species
AUACAGAGGGUGCAAGCGUUAAUCGGAAUUACUGGGCGUAAAGCGCGCGUAGGCGGCUUUGUAAGUCGGAUGUGAAAGCCCUGGGCUUAACCUGGGAAUGGCAUUCGAUACUGCAGAGCUAGAGUAUGGUAGAGGGAAGUGGAAUUUCCGGUGUAGCGGUGAAAUGCGUAGAUAUCGGAAGGAACACCAGUGGCGAAGGCGACUUCCUGGGCCAAUACUGACGCUGAGGUGCGAAAGCGUGGGGAGCAAACAGGAUUAGAAACCCCAGUAGUCC